UACGGGGGGUGCGAGCGUUGUCCGGAAUCACUGGGCGUAAAGGGCGCGUAGGCGGUUUGAUAAGGGUGUGGUGAAAGUCCGGGGCUCAACCCCGGAUCUGCCGUGCCGACUGUCAAACUCGAGGGCUGUAGAGGCAGACGGAAUUCCGGGUGUAGCGGUGGAAUGCGUAGAGAUCCGGAGGAAGACCGGUGGCGAAGGCGGUCUGCUGGGCAGUUUCUGACACUGAUGCGCGACAGCGUGGGGAGCAAACAGG
rnacentral:rRNA from 1 species